rnacentral:rRNA from 1 species
GACAGAGGUGCCGAGCGUUAGGCGGAAUCACUGGGCUUAAAGCGUGUGUAGGCGGACUUCUAAGUACCUUGUGAAAUCCCAUGGCUCAACCAUGGAACUGCUUGGUAUACUGGUUGUCUUGAGCCACUUAGGGGCAGUCGGAACAGAUGGUGGAGCGGUGAAAUGCGUAGAUAUCGGUAGGAACACCAGUGGCGAAGGCGGUCUCCUGGGGCAUUCUUGACGCUGAGGCGCGAAAGCUGGGGGAGCAAACGGG